rnacentral:lncRNA from 1 species
CCCGCCUGGGCCUGCUUCUCAUCCUCGUUUUCCCCCAUGGUUCAGGAGUCGUGUGCGGCAGUGGUGCGGCGAGGACACAGGUGAACAGCAUGAAGUAUCUGGAGAAACGUCACACUGGAUUCUCAGGCAUCACAGUGGUUAAAGUCUUCUCUUUCUGGGAUGAGACACACACGGGUUGCCAUGUUCCGAAAGUCGCGCGGGCUGCCCGGCCCCGGGUCAGGCCUGCCUCGGCCCUGGCCGCGGGCGCAGCGAUCGGGCCCCGCGGGCCACUGACAGAGCUGGGAGCGAGCGAGGCGGCCCGGCGCAG